GACGAACGCUGGCGGCGUGCUUAACACAUGCAAGUCGAACGGAAAGGCCCUGCUUUUGUGGGGUGCUCGAGUGGCGAACGGGUGAGUAACACGUGAGUAACCUGCCCUUGACUAUGGGAUAACUUCAGGAAACUGGGGCUAAUACCGGAUAGGAGCUCCUGCUGCAUGGUGGGGGUUGGAAAGUUUCGGCGGUCGGGGAUGGACUCGCGGCUUAUCAGCUUGUUGGUGGGGUAGUGGCUUACCAAGGCUUUGACGGGUAGCCGGCCUGAGAGGGUGACCGGCCACAGUGGGACUGAGAUGCGGCCCAGACUCCUACGGGAGGCAGCAGUGGGGAAUAGUGCACAAUGGGCGGAAGCCUGAUGCAGCAACGCCGCGUGCGGGAUGACGGCCUUCGGGUUGUAAACCGCUUGCGCCUGUGACGAAGCGUGAGUGACGGGAAUGGGUAAAGAAGCACCGGCUAACUACGUG
rnacentral:rRNA from 1 species